AUGCUUUGCGGCAACGGCGUUAGCGAGGUUCGGGUGUUGUUAGGCACGUUGUGCGGGAAGGGCUGCGGGAACCGGUGACCGUGUUCGUGUCGUGCCUUCAUGCUUUAGGGAUUUAUUUCUUGAACUCUUUUUUUUUUUUGAGUCCUCAAAAAGGCAAGAGUAGUUUCUUCGCUUCGCUGUUGGGAGGCUGCGAUUCCGUUACUCCCAAAGAGGACUCUUUCUUGCAAGCGUUCCCUUGCACGCACUUUACUCUUAGGCUGGUGAGACUCGCCCUCCCUCCUCCAAGACGUCUCGCUGUUUUGUUUGGUUUUAGUUUUGUUCUUUGAGAGGAUUCCAUCCUCCGGCUUUCCUUCCCUAUUUUUCCUUCCUUCCUUCGCGCAUCCCCGCCCGCCCCCAUCCCCCUCCUCUGGGAGAGACCAGCCCUCACCGCCGCCGGCUGAGGAAUGGAGCCUCACGGCUGUCGGGAGUGCCCAUCGCGGGAAGGCUCGUCCUUGCCUGGAGAGCGGGCUUCCUCCGACCUCGGACAGGCCUUGUCCCAGAUUUUGCACCAUCUUAGCGGCCUGGAUUCCCGACGUGGCAAGGCCAGAAAUGCAGCUCUGCAGGACCUCAGUGCUCUGAUAGAAGCCACAGAGGGUGAUGAACUGUUUGGGGGGAGUGGCACAUCGCUCCGCGGAAUGCCCGAGAUGCUGGGGCAGGUGGCAAAAGCCCUGGAGAAGUAUGCAGCCCCACCCAAGGAGCAGGGAGGUGGAAGCGAUGCUCACUCUGAAGUGGCCGAGAAAGCGGCAGCGGUUGGGUUACUGUUUCUUAAGCUAUUGAGGAAAGUUGGGGCUGCCGAGAAUUCCUUGGUUUGCCCUGCCCGGAAGGCAUGCCUCCGUCUCUUGGCGGGACCCAUCUAUAUUUUUGCCGUCUCGCACAGCUUGGAGCAAGCAUGGACCAGCCCAAGAUCGCAGGACGUUGCUGGACAGGUGCUCGCCUUACUGCUUCAAGUUACUGAGUGUGCUUCUGUGGCGGGAUUCCUCCACGGAGAAAAUGAGGAUGAGAAAGGGAGAUUUACUCUGAUAAUGGGACUUCUCAAACCCGAUUUGAAUAAGGAAACCUGGAAGAAUAACCCUGCCACCAAACAUGUUUUCUCGUGGACUCUGCAACAGGUCACUCGACCCUGGCUGAACCAGCAUCUGGAAAGGAUACUUCCCCCAUCAUUGCUCAUCUCAGAUGACUAUCAAACUGAGAACAAAAUCCUGGGUGUACACUGCCUCCAUCACAUUGUGCUUAACGUGCCAGCUGCUGAUUUGCUUCAGUAUAACAGGGCCCAGGUCGUAUACCAUGCCCUUUUCAACCACCUGUACACACCGGAGCACCACCUCAUCCAGGCUGUGCUCCUGUGUCUGUUGGAUUUAUUCCCUGUCCUGGAGAAAGGCCUCCACUGGAAGGGAGAUGCAGCUCGACCCACCACACACUGUGAUGAGGUACUGCAGCUGAUCCUGACCCACAUGGAGCCAGAGCACCGCCUCCUCUUACGCAGGACCUACGCGAGAAACCUACCAGCCUUUGUGAAGAGGUUGGGGAUCCUAACUGUCCGGCACUUGAAGAGGCUGCAACGAGUCAUCAUUGGUUAUCUGGAGGUUUAUGAUGGACCAGAGGAGGAGGCUAGAUUGAAGAUACUGGAAACCCUAAAACUUCUCAUGCAGUAUACAUGGCCCAGAGUUUCCUGUAGACUUGUGGUCUUAUUGAAGGCUCUCUUGAAACUGCUAUGUGAUGUAGCAAGGGAUCCAAGUCUCACACCUGAGCCUAUUAAGAGCGCCUUGUUAGAGGAGGCCACAGACUGCCUGAUUCUCCUGGACCACUGCUCUCAAGGGCGGGUGAAGGGUCUCCUGGCCAAAAUUCUCCAAAGCUGUGAGGACAGUAAGGUGGUGACCUGUCUCAGAAAAGUGCAGCAGGCUUCAGAAGGCGCUCCCGGCGAUGGAACUUAACAUUUGUACGAAUUUCCUGAAGAGGAAAGGAUUUUCUUUCUAUUCCAGUUGUAUAAAUGUGAUUAUUUAAGGAAAAAGCAUCCGAAGAGUCACUCCCUGCCUCCUGCUGCUCCAGGGCCUUGUCAAAGGCAUGAAUGGGGAAGUUGUAGAUGUCGCCAUACUGAAGAAUGUAAACAGAGACUGGCUUUAACUACAUUUGGAUCAUACACUUAAAGUCCACUGUCUGACAAGCAUAUUACUUUUAUCUCAGUGAUUAAAUGAGAAUAGUUAAAUUGAGUAAUAUUUCUAUAUUGUUUUCAAGCCUAGAGCUGGCAAUGUCUUAAAAAGCCCAUUUUGACAUUUAGUUGUUACUGGUUAACACCAAACAGGUAACUUCUAUGAAGGAUAGAAACAGAUCACUUAAAAUUUAGCAGUCUAUAAAACCCGUGGAUUGGAACAAAUAUAAUUUUGCUGACCAAGAGGAAACAAUAAGGAAAAAGUAAACUUUAUUCAUGUUUUCUCUGUAAAGGACACAUUCUUAGAAUAAAACUUACUUUAAAGAAACUUAAAAGACUAGGAUAAUAGGAGGAUCAAAACUGUAUGGCUUUUAUACAGACAUCUGGAAUUGCUGCAUUUGGGGACAGGAGUUGGGAAUAAGGGCAAAAGGGCAAGGUCUCCUAUACUGAAUGGAGUAACAGGGCAGCCAAGGCAAGUCAGGUACUUGCGCCAGUGAAGCAAUGUGAGGAAGCCAGGGCCUAUAUGAUAGUUAUUUUAUUCCAGAAAUAAAAUCAAGGUGAAGAUCUUUAAGAAUAAAACACAUUUCCCACUAUUCCACAUUUCUUAGCAUGAUACUACCACCUAAAAAAUAAAAUUUGUACCCUAAGGCUCCUAA